GAUGAACGCUAGCUACAGGCUUAACACAUGCAAGUCGAGGGAAACGAUAGAGAAGCUUGCUUUUCUAGGCGUCGACCGGCGCACGGGUGAGUAACGCGUAUCCAACCUGCCCACCACUUGGGGAUAACCUUGCGAAAGUAAGACUAAUACCCAAUGACGUCUCUAGAAGACAUCUGAAAAGAGAUUUAAAGAUUUAUCGGUGAUGGAUGGGGAUGCGUCUGAUUAGCUUGUUGGCGGGGUAACGGCCCACCAAGGCGACGAUCAGUAGGGGUUCUGAGAGGAAGGUCCCCCCACAUUGGAACUGAGACACGGUCCAAAACUCCUACGGGAGGCAGCAGUGAGGAAUAUUGGUCAAUGGACGAGAGUCUGAACCAGCCAAGUAGCGUGCAGGAUGACGGCCCUAUGGGUUGUAAAACUGCUUUUAUAAGGGAAUAAAACGUGAGUCUCGUGAGACUUUUUGCAUGACCUUAUGAAUAAGGACCGGCU
rnacentral:rRNA from 1 species